CCACAUUCUGCAAACCUGCUUGAGGAAAUAAAAAUACAGGUGUGUUCAGCUGAGAUAAAAGCCUCCAGUAUCGCAGAGCUCCAGAGAGACUGGCACCACCACUGAAGAGAGAAAACCAGCAGAGAUGGGCAACUUCUUCUACUUCUCUGCUGAAACUUGGACCCUGCUGGUCGCUUUUAUCACAUUGCUCGUUGUGUAUGCCUACACUGUAAGAAAU